rnacentral:rRNA from 1 species
UACGUAGGGGGCGAGCGUUGUCCGGAAUCAUUGGGCGUAAAGGGCGCGUAGGUGGCCCGGUCAGUUCGUGGUGAAAGCGCGGGGCUCAACCCUGCGUCGGCCAUGAAUACUGCCGCGGCUGGAGCACUGUAGAGGCAGGCGGAAUUCCGGGUGUAGCGGUGGAAUGCGUAGAGAUCCGGAAGAACACCGGUGGCGAAGGCGGCCUGCUGGGCAGUUGCUGACACUGAGGCGCGACAGCGUGGGGAGCAAACAGG